rnacentral:rRNA from 1 species
GAUCCUGGCUCAGGAUGAACGCUGGCGGCGUGCCUAACACAUGCAAGUCGAGCGAAGCGGUUUUUAAGGAAGUUUUCGGAUGGAAUUAAAAACUGACUGAGCGGCGGACGGGUGAGUAACGCGUGGGUAACCUGCCUCAUACAGGGGGAUAACAGUUAGAAAUGGCUGCUAAUACCGCAUAAGCACACAGCUUCGCAUGGAGCAGUGUGAAAAACUCCGGUGGUAUGAGAUGGACCCCGCGU